AUUGAACGCUGGCGGCAGGCUUAACACAUGCAAGUCGAGCGGAUCGGCGGACGGGUGAGUAAUGCCUAGGGCUCUGCCUGUUAGUGGGGGAGGGCGUCCGGUAACGGAAGCUAAUACCACAACCUAUCAGAAGCGCCUGGGUCGGAUUAGCUAUUUGGUGGGGUAAGGGCCCACCCAGGCGACGAUCCGUAACUGGUCUGAGAGGAUGAUCAGUCACACUGGAACUGAGACACGGUCCAGACUCCUACGGGAGGCAGCAGUGGGGAAUAUUGGACAAUGGGCGAAAGCCUGAUCCAGCCAUGCCGCGUGUGUGAAGAAGGUCUUCGGAUUGUAAAGCACUUUAAGUUGGGAGGCGUUACCAACAGAAUAAGCACCGGCUAACUUCGUGCCAGCAGCCGCGGUAAUUC
rnacentral:rRNA from 1 species